rnacentral:tRNA from 1 species
GUCUCUGUAGCUUACGAUCAAAGCAUGGCACUGAAGAUGCCAAGACGGCCCUCACCCACCCAGGGACA